rnacentral:ncRNA from 1 species
AUAUAAAGUUUGAUUCUUGCUUUUGAUUUUGCUUUAUAUUUUGUUGUUACAUGUAAGUUUUUGCGUUGGUUUAUAUUUUUUUCUAAAUGGAUAUAUAGAUUUGGAUUAUUUUCAGUGCUUAAUAUUGCAAUAUUCGGGGGUUCGAUAUGUAGUAAAUUUUAUUAGUUCUGGCUAAUUUUGUGCCAGCAGUCGCGGUUAUACAAUUAGUGCUAGCGAAAUUUUUUGGUUGUGGUAUUUUUCUUGUUUAUUAUUAUAUAUUUUUAUAAGAUUUAGGGUGGAAUUUCAAUUUUUAUUUUUUAUUUAGGUUUAGAUAUUAUACGAUGGUAUUUUUAAGACUAGGAUUAGAUACCCUAUUAUGUUUACUGUAAAUUUUUGGCCUUAGUAUUAGUAGUUAUGAUCUUUAAAUUAAAAGAAUUUGGCGGUAAUUUAAUCUUUCCAGAGGAACCUGUCCUUUAAUUGAUAAUCCACGUUGAAUUUUACUUUAUUAUAUUGCUUGUAUACCUCUGUCAUUGAAUGUUCUUGUAGGAUAUUUUCUUAAAUCUUUUUUGGGUAAAAUGUUAGGUCAAGGUGCAGCUUUAAUGAAGUUUGAGAUGGGUUACUAUAUUUUUAUAUUUGGAUAUUUUGUUGUAAUACAAUAUUGAAAUAGGAUUUGGAAGUAAUUUUUAUUAUUUAUUAAUUUUGAUUUUGGCUCUAAAUUAUGUACACAUCGCCCGUCGCUCUCAUUUUAAGGUGAGAUAAGUCGUAACAAAGUAGUUUUACCGGAAGGUAAAUCUGGUUUUAUUUUCUUG